ACAAGUGCUGCCCCCUGCUGGAUUAGAAAUGAAGAACACGAAAAUAGGUAUUACAUCUGUGUCUCGACCUUCAUCACAUCAUGUUUCACCAACAUCCAAUCUGCAAAACAACACCUCAACCACACCACCGAGAGCAUCUACAGCCCCCAACCCGGACUUAGCCUUGUGCAAGGCCAUACAUCAACAAGCCAGUGUUACUGAUUAUUUGGUGAAAAACCAUAAAGCUACUUUGCUUCCUGAGUUGAAAAUUUCAGUUUUUUAUGGUGACCCUCUUGAAUAUCAGACUUUUAUUAGAUCUAUUGAGCACAACAUAGAGGGCCGCACAAGUGAUGCUUGUGACAGAUUGCAGUUUCUUUUGCAGUAUACUAGUGGCCAGCCACAUGAACUGGUGAAGAGCUGCAUCCACAUGGAGUCAACAGCUGGAUAUAACAAGGCAAAGACUUUGCUAAAGGAUUUUUUUGGAGAUGAUUUUAAAAUUGCAGAUGCAUAUAUGAAAGAAAUUAUGGACUGGCCAAUGAUAAAGCCAGAAGAUGGCGCAGCACUUCACUCCUUUUCCCUGUUUCUCACUGAUGCUUCAAUGCAAUGGCAGACAUCACUUAUCUGGAAGAUUUGGACAACGCCACUUACAUCAAGUUGCUGGUAAGCAAGCUACCUUACAGACUUAAAGAAACAUGGAGAAAAUCUGCACGUGAUUUACUAGAGAAAACAAAAAAGCGAGUUCAAUUUAAGGAUUUUGUUGAUUUUAUUACAAAACAAGCAAAGUACAUGAUACAUCUGCUUUAUGGGAACAUAAAAGAGUCAAAUAACAGUAAAGAUGUGUUGUCCCGCCAGAGAUCAAAGUCUCAGGCUCCAGAUUUAUUAAGGUCAAAGAAGGUUUUCAGCACUGUUGUUGUACCAUCCCCUGUAGAAAAUAAAGACAAUAUAGUGAGCGAGUUGCAAAGGCAGAAAGUGUUUUACUUACCUGUGGAUGCCAAUGGAAAACCCUGUGCUUAUUGUAAAGGAGAACAUUACAGUUUGUCAAUCUGUAACAAACUAAAAGCCAAGUCACACAAAGAAAAGAUUGACUUUUUGAGGCGCAGAGGUUUAUGUUUUGCCUGUUUGAAACAUGGACAUAUGGCCAGCUGCUGUAAAGAAAAGGCAUCUUGUCAGGAGUGUUCUGGACCACACCCAAUGCUGCUGCAUAUAAAUAUUAAAUCAAGAGAAGCGCAAAAUGGAAAUGAAAGCCGAGAUAAGCAAACUGUGUCAAGUGCUUUGGAAAUUUCUGGCUACACUGGGGCUGGUAGAGAAGACUGCACGCUCUCUAUUGUACCAGUGUGUGUCAAAGCUGUAAAAGGGACUAAAGUGUUGGUUACUUAUGCAUUUCUAGAUCCAGGAAGCACAGCUACCUUUGCCACAGAAUCUCUCAUAAAUGAACUGAAUAUGAACGGACAUAACACAAGUAUUUUGCUUAGGACGAUGGGAAGAGAGUCUGUUGUGGAUACCUGUAUUGUGAAUGGACUGGAAAUUAGCAGUUUAGACAGUGACAACUUCAUUCAGCUGUCAGAAGUAUACUCACAAAAUGUUUUUCCAGUUUGCAAAGAGAACAUCCCUCGUCAGGAAGAUGUGAAUAAAUGGCCCCACCUGAAGGAAGUGAAACUCCCAGUUAUCCAAGCCAACAUUGGAUUGCUCAUCGGAGCAAAUGUUCCCAAAGCUAUGGAACCACUUCAAGCGGUAAAAAGUGUGGAUAAUGUACCAUAUGCUGUGAGGACAAUAUUAGGCUGGAUGAUAAAUGGACCGUUGAGAGGUGGUGGAGGGACUAAACCAACCAAUACAUGGACUCAAGUGACUGUAAAUAGGAUUUCAGUUGCCAGGUUGGGUGAGUUGUGGCAGCUGCAAUUUAAGCAAGAUUUUCCUGAUGCAGGUCAAACUGAGGAGAUUGAGAUGUCCAAAGAUGACAAGCAGUUUAUUUCUAUGAUGUGUAAGUCUGUGGAGCUGAAGAAUGGACAUUACAAGGUUUGUCUCCCAAUGAAAAAUGCAGAACUGCAAAUGCCAAAUAACAGAUCAGUGGCAGAGCAACGUGCACUGAAUUUAAAGAAAAGAUUUUCCAAAGAUGGCAGCUACUACAAGGAGUAUGUGGCAUUCAUGGACAGCAUCUUGGAGAAAGGUUAUGCAGUGGAGAUAAAUGCCAAAGAUGAAACAUCAAGUAAUCGUAAAUGGUACUUACCUCAUCAUGGAGUUAGACAUCCUGUGAAGCAAAAACUACGUGUCGUCUUUGAUUGCGGAGCUAGUUUUGGAGGAACAUCUUUAAAUCAGGAGUGGCUGCAAGGACUAGGUUUAACAAGCUCAUUAAUUGGAGUGCUUUUGAGAUUCCGUCAGGAGACUGUUGCUAUGAUGGCUGAUGUGGAGGGCAUGUUUUAUCAAGUGCAAGUAAGUGAUGAAGACACAGACCUCCUUAGAUUCCUCUGGUGGCCUGAUGGUGAUUACAGUAAGGAGCUGGUGGAUCAUAAGAUGCUGGUGCACAUUUUCGGAGCGACGUCAUCUCCAAGUGUAGCAACAUUUGCCAUGCAGAAAUGUGCUUCUGAUUUUGAAGGAGAGUUUGGUCGAGACACAGCUCAAACUGUAUUUAGGAACGUUUAUGUGGAUGACUGCAUUAAGUCUGUCAAGGAUCAAGGUAGUGUGAUUACCCUUGCUGCUGCUUUGACAGAAAUGCUGGCAAAAGGCGGCUUCCGGCUGACAAAGUGGUCCAGUAACUGUCGAACGUUGCUUAACACCAUACCAGUAAAUGAACGAGCAACUGGAUUUCAAGAUCUGGAUUUGGAUCAGGAUUACUUACCAGUGGAGAGGGCCCUGUGAAUACAGUGGUGUGCGGAAACAGACCAGUUCAAGUUUAAAAUCAAUCUCAAAGAGUGCCCACACACCAGAAGAGGACUACUUUCACUGGUUAGUUCUAUCUUUGAUCCAAUGGGUUUGCUCGCUCCCGUCAUUUUACCAGUGAAGAAACUUCUUCAGGAGUUGUGUCGUUUAAAAUACUCUUGGGAUGAAGAGCUACCAGACACCAUCAUUAAAGGUUGGAAGAAGUGGCUUUCGGGACUCAAGCUACUGGAAGAAUUUGGAGUGGACAAGGUGCAUUAAAACCAAGCAUUUUGGUAGACCAGUCUUUGCACAACUUCACCAUUUUGCUGAUGCAAGCGAAGAUGCUUAUGGCACAGUAAGCUAUCUGGUGCUACAUAAUGACUCAGGUGAGGCACGGUCCACUCUGCUGAUGGCCAGAGCCAGAGUUGCUCCUCUAAAAACACCCACUGUUCCAAGGCUGGAGCUCACAGCUGCUACAGUGGCAGUUAAAAUGGAUAAACUGUUGAAGAAAGAGCUGGAGUUAUAGCUGAAGGACUCUGUACUCUGGACUGACAGUACAGCUGUCAUUAAAUAUUUGAACAGUAAAACGACAAGGUUCAAGACAUUUGUGGCGAACCGUAUAACAGCCAUCCUGCAGCAUUCACAACCAUUUCAGUGGAGGUAUGUGAAUUCUAGCUCUAAUCUUGCUGAUUUUGUCUCCAGGGGACUGACAGCCGAAGCUUUGCUGCUGUGUGGAGACUGGCUGUCUGGACCAAGUUUCCUUCUUCAGACAUCUGAUCUAUGGCCCACAAAUCCUGAUAUCAGAGUUGCAGAUUGUGAAGACUUGGAGGUGAAAAGAGUGGCUCAAGUUCACACUGUACAGGUCUGUUGGUUCUGAAGCAUGGAGACAGAUGACAAAUGCGCCGAUCAGUGCCGAUUUGGGGUUGGAGGAAUAAAACUGAGCAUUUACAGCUGAUAUAUUUAUCUGUGGGGCACCCAUCAACAUCUGCUACAGUCACUCACACUGGCCACUGGGCAAGAGACUGUUUCACAUCACCAACAGGUCGGCCUGGCAUGAAGUCCAAAUACGACCUCACAUCCAGAAGGUCAGUACCCCAGCAAGGGGAUAACGCUCCCAUGAACAAUGUUUACGCACCCUGGAAAAGUGGCCAACGCUCAUGAACAGCGCAGAUCCCAAGCUGUCAAGGGAAGUGGCUGUAUGAACUUUCUGCACACAUUGGAGCCACUUGUUUCAUCAGACUCUGAGUUGUGAAAAGGAGGCUUUAUCACUGAGGUGCUUCGCAGAGCCAGCGCAUGGGGGAAGGGACGCUGACAUCCCAUGUCAGUACAUAAUGAAGAGUUUGUUUUCCUUUAGUACACAUACCACCAAAUGUUCAGUGAAACUUAUUUUGUUUUUGACUUUGUCCAGCAGAGGGCUAUGGCUGUGGGGUUUUGCAAAACUAAAAUGUAAUGUCUCCUGACCUUUGUCAAGGAGAAAAGGUCAGAAGAAGCUUCUCAAGUUGUUUAUUCAAAAGCAGCAAAUCUCAAAACAAACCCUCGAGAUGAGCGCAUGAGAGACUUCUGCUAGUCACAAAUGCCUGACCCCCAGGAUCCCUUCAGAAAGCUGUCCAUGGCUAUUGCUGACAAUCUGACAGAACAGAUUUCAAGGCGUUUUCCAAACUUAGAAAGUCUGCAGUUUCUGGAACUGGUCAAUCCAGGGAAGUUUGACCAAACAAACUUUGGAACACUUUGGAAUGCCUGUUUCCAGAACAGGCCUGGAAAUAUAUCGUAAUUUAUUUGAUUCAGGGAGACUAAAAUCUAAAAUUCAAGUUCUAUAUUCAAAUCAUGACUUACAAGGGAAGAGAGUAAAACUGUGACCUUUUUGUAUUUUUUAAAGACAUGGUGCAAUGGCACAGCUGUACAAGCUGUUGUGUUUGGUUUCCACAAUAGGAGCUACAUCAGCUGGUGUAGAAUGCAGCUUCUCUUACUUAAAAAGAGUCAAGUCAUACAUAUGCAACACAAUGGGGCAAGACCGUUUAAGCAAACUUACUCUAUUGGCCAUUGAGAGGAAGUUGAAGUUGAGGGAAAUGACAGUUGCCAUGACAGGGUCAUAGACCAUUUCCUGUAAAAAGAGAGAAGGGCUAAUUUUGUAAUGUGUUUUAUGUGUUUCAACAUUUGUUAAUGCAAUACAUUAUGUUUGGAUUUAAUUAACACCACUGAGCCUGUUUCAGAGAGCAGCAGUCACCACUGCUAAAGGUCUUUAAGAAACAGCUACAUUUUUAAUAUCAAAAUUAAACUUUGGCCUCUUGCUUAUGGAGGACCAGGAGAGUGACUGAAAAAGAAAUACAACCAUUUAAAUUUUAGCAUUUAAAUCAUAUAACAGCGUUUUGUAAUUGCACAUUUUGAAUUGAAUUAUUCAAGAGCAUUGUAAAUUGUAUUUAUUAAUCAAUCCAUUAUCCAAAUCCUAUUUCUAAAUGGAGAUUUAAAAACCAAAAUUCAUAAAUCUGAUUAUAAAUAACUUUUCUUAUCCAACAUUUAACAACAUAAUCCCUUUUUCGCAUUGCAUUUUCUUUUUACUUUACCAUCUCCAUUGACCGUUUCCGUGACCAGCUCUCUCAUUGGUUAGACAGCCAAACUUGGGUCACAACACGACAGCAAACUUAGGUGGUAUUGUGCACUCGCCAGAGUUGUUCCUAGAGCUCCUGUCACACAUGAAGGACAAAGCAGCAGGCAACAUUUGGAGCAGCACAAUAGAUAAUUUAAUCAAUCUGGCUAACUGCAUUGACAGUGCAGGUGCUGAUGAUGCAAGUGCUUUAAGGAGACUUCUGCAGAUAAGGCAAAACUUUGAAGCAGUAGUCCCCAAUUCUGGUCCUUGAGGUCCAGUUUCCUGCAGCUUUUUGUCCCUGAUUCAACACACCUGAAUCAAAAGGCUGAAUUUACAUCCUCAGUCAAGUUCUCCAGAGUCCUACUAAUGACUUGAUUAUUUGACACAGGUGUAUUAAAGCAAUGUAACAAAUAAAAGUUGCUGGACACAAAAGCACUCAAGGACCUGAAUUGAGUACCACUGCCUUAAAGCAGCCAUCUAGCACCCAGAAGACGAGUUUCUCUCAAAAUUUGAUGUCGAACUUUGUUUCACCAAAUUGGAGAUGUCCGUGAGUUUCCACUCUAUCUGGAGUUACAAAGUGAACAGCUGGAGCAGCAAAUGAGGUUGGGAACCUCUCUUAAACAAAUAGUGGCUCAUUUUUGUCACUAAAAACUCCAACAAAGAGUUGUCCAGUGGGGUCUGAGGUAAGACUUUUUUUCCUGUGAUAAGGCUAAGAAAAGCAUUUCAUUGCACCUAUCCAAAGAGACAUCAUAAUGCUAUGUUUUUUAUUAUAUGUUCUUUAAUUCAACUUUUUAUUCAAUUACAUUUCAUUUAUAUAGCGGCAAGU